CUCUCUGUAGCUCAGUUGGUAGAGCGCAUGUUUGAAGCACAUGAUGCCGAGGUUCGAUUCCUUGCGGAGAGG
rnacentral:tRNA from 1 species